rnacentral:rRNA from 1 species
GACGAACGCUGGCGGCAUGCCUAAUACAUGCAAGUCGAGCGGAGUUGAUGGAAAGCUUGCUUUCCUGAUACUUAGCGGCGGACGGGGGAGUAACACGUAGGCAACCUGCCCUCAAGCUUGGGACAACUACCGGAAACGGUAGCUAAUACCGAAUACUUGUUUUCUUCGCCUGAAGAGAACUGGAAGGACGGAGCAAUCUGUCACUUGGGGAUGGGCCUGCGGCGGAUUAGCUAGUUGGUGAGGUAACGGCUCACCAAGGCGACGAUGCGUAGCCGACCUGAGAGGGUGAUCGGCCACACUGGGACUGAGACACGGCCCAGACUCCUACGGGAGGCAGCAGUAGGGAAUCUUCCGCAAUGGGCGAAAGCCUGACGGAGCAAUGCCGCGUGAGUGAUGAAGGUUUUCGGAUCGUAAAGCUCUGUUGCCAGGGAAGAACGCUUGGGAGAGUAACUGCUCCCAAGGUGACGGUACCUGAGAAGAAAGCCCCGGCUAACUACGUGCCAGCCGCCGCCGUAA